AUGGUUUGUAUAUGCUCAGCUCAGGAAGUGGCACUGUUGGGAGGUGUGGGCUUGUGGGUGUGGGCUUUAAUAUCCUUGUCCUAGCUCUCUGGGAUCGAGUGUUCUGCUACAGCUUUCAGAUGAAGAUGUAGAACUCUCAGCCCCUCCUGUACCAUGCCUGCCUGGAUGCUGCCAUCUUAAUGAUACUUAAUGAUACUGCACUGAACCUCUGAACCUGUAAGCCAGUCCCAAUUAAGUGUUGUUGUUGUCCUUUAUGAGACUUGCCUUGGUCAUGGUGUCUGUUCAAAGUAGCAAAACCCUAAGACACACAGUGAGUUAAUGUACAAAAUUGUGAGUUGUUUUACACACACACAUUAUUAAAAUAUUGACAAAACCAAAAACACAACACAAAAAGACACAGAACAAAAAUAUGUACUACCAACAAAGCAAAAUGAACAAGAGGAGGAUAACCCUUAACCCUUGUUAGUCUGCACUGGAAAAUGUUUCAGUCCAUAUUCGGCUCACAGCUGCUGAGGGUUGUGUCCUUUGUUGUCAACAGUGCACCUUCAUGCAAUCCAGAUGGAGAAACUAGACAACAGGUGCUUAUUCACACGCGGGGUGGCUAUGGUGACCUGGCCUUGCUUAGGUGACAGCAGGACUAUGGGCAUUGGUGAGGGCAAUGAGCUCCAGGGUGUUGGGGGUGGAGGAGGCCUUGGAGACACAGGCUGACCUCCGGGGUGACUGACAAGCACCAAAGCCUUGGGGAAUUUGCACAGACUGCUUCAGUGAUAUGGGCAAAGCUGUGGGAUGCUCAUACCAAGUCUGAGAUGAUGGGUGCAACCACUGCCUGGGGCUAAAUAUAACUGCAGUUUUCCUACUGUAGAAAGAUUUUCAGAAUAUAGUGCAGAUUCUGCCAUGUGUUUAUUAUGAUUGUGUUCUACAAUUCCUGAAAUUUCCCUCUUUUUUAUAAAAAUGACCCACUCAUUGUUCAAUAGUAUGUUGUUCUAUUUUCAUGAGAAAUACUCUAAUUUUUCUGCUAUUCUAGAUUUUAAAGAUUUGAAAGGACUUGUUUUGUACAAUUGCUAAAAAUAAUGUGCACUCUGCAGGUGAAAUAUCACGCAGAUGUCUGUUCCAUUCAUUUGAAGUUUACUUGCUUAUGUGUCUGGGUGACUGUUGGUGAGAGCAAGGCGUUGAAGUCACCUACCAGUAUUUCUAUAUGGAGGAUGAAAUGCCCUUUAUUGUCAUGUGCCAUUGGGACCAUGUAAAGGAAGAUAGAAGACCACAGAAGCCUAAAAAGUAGAUUCAAAGUAGGAAGGAUGGGUCUGUCAGGAGAAAGCUUCCUCCGGGCCUUCUGCUAAAGCCCGGUUCUUCGUGCUGUCACAUGAACACCGAUGUCCUGCAGGGACAUCAUCUCCUGGAGUUAGAGAUAGUGACUACUGCGUGUGAAUGCUGGGAACUGCAGGGGGAUCCUCUGGAAGAUUAGGAAAUGAGCUGAAGAUAUAAUAGUUGAAAGCAUAUGUAGACUUUAUUAACAUACAGUGCAUAUGGGGUAGAACCAGAAUCUUAUUUACAACUCUGUAAUUUCUACUUACUCUAAUGUAAAUGAAAUAUAUAUUUGGAAGUGUUUUAGCCAAACAGACAAACUAAUAAUUUCCCCUAUUUUAACAUGAUACAACAUGUAUAUAUUUUAUAUAUUUUCACAUUUUUGUUAAAUAUACUUAAACACUUCUAAACAAUAGUUCUGGUUGAGUUUAGAAAAGAAUCCCUUUAGCAGUACUUGUCUUUCACUUUGGUUAAAAAAAACAAGUGAUUAUGGCUCAGGUGGUGGUGUCAUUUAAAGGAACAUGGUCACAUUAUUUACUACACAGAAUUCAUGUGAAAUGUAGAUAUGCACCAAGCAGUUACACAUGCAGUAUACUAACGUUAGAAUUCACUUACCAUCUGCCCAACUCCCUGGUGCCAGAAGGCAAGAUUUCUAACUUGGGGUAUGGCUCAUUAGGGACGUGUUCACAUACUAACAUACUGCUUCAUACUCUCCUGAACCAGCAGGGACAUAGACAUUGAAGGACAAACUUUUAUGGAGUAAAACCAACAUUGACUUGUUGAGGGGUUUUCUUCUGAGUUUCCACCACCCAUCUCAUCUUGAGGCAGGAACUGAAAGUGCUGUGGGGCCGAACUCAGACCUAGGACACAUCCAGACAUCACGUAGACCUUCUUAAUGACAUCAGCCCUGAUGCCUGGGACAGAAAGGAACACACCCUAUCAGAACAGUUAGGUGAUUUCUAAAGACUGUUUACAAAUGGGCUCUGCAUACUAGUUUGGUAAGUAUACUGGAAGUCCAGUGACAUGGCCUCCUCUGAUGUAGUCCCAGACAGAGCACCACAGAGUUUCCAAAUGAACUCUGGUCCUUUAAGACUAGAAUAUACGACACUACAUCAAAGUACCUGCAACUCAUGAUUGGAUACAAAAUUAAACAACUUACUUGAAAUCUAGAUGUUCAACGAGCACAUAUCCAUCUGUAGAAACAAAACUCACUUUAGUAACCUGAGAGUUCUAGAGAAAAUUCUUUAGUAUAAAGAAAACAUUUCAAUGUAAACUCACAUUUGCCUUUGGAAUUGCGACAGAUCACUAGGUUUUGCUCAGUGGUGUCGAUGACUUCCAGCUGUUCGCCAGGAAUUAUUGGCAGAUCAAACAUUCCAUUUCGUGAAUUACUGGCACACGCUACAGCUCUGUUAAUGACCAGGAUUUCUUUACCAUACUAAAAUGAGAAAUUACUAGUAAGGGCAUGCUUGCAUGGUUAUUAUAACAGAAUUAAUGAAGGGUAUAAUAUAGUAACCUCAAAAUAUAGGAUACUAGAUACAUGGACAAAAUAAAUGAUGGGGAUAUUACAGUGGAACUCCCUUAAAAUAAUAGUGAAGUCCAAAAUAAAACAUCUGUCUAAUGUGAUUAUAUUUUGAAACUGUUUUCACAUCUACUAAUACAUAUUAGAACAAGUCCUGGUGGCUUAGAAUAUACCACAGUUGGUAUACUGUACAACACAGGCGAGGAAACAUUUCACAGAGCGGUAGAGUUGACUUUCUGUUUCUGGAUGAUGCUCCGUCCUCACCUUUAUAGGGCACAUGUACUUUACAAGGGCAGUAGUUGGGUGUGAGGGGGAAAGACAAGCAUUGGAGGAGGAGCAGCCUCUGACUGGAAAUUUGGUUCCUAAACCCACAGGAUAUUUUCUUUCUGACGAGCUAGCCUCUACAAGUAAUUCGUCUUCUUAUGCACUGACCAGGAAAACAAAGCUAGGACAGGGAGCUUAGGUCAUAGAUGUCCUUUACCAGAUUAGGAUGGAAUGUCUCCACUUAUAGCUUCCUCCUCAGCUGGCUAAGGGUGCUCCUGCUACCCCCCAAACCCCUUGUGUUUACUAGGAAUCCGAAAUGGUUUCUUCAAAUGCUAAUCUGACGUAGGUCACCUCCAUGUCUUUGGCUUGCUAUUAGAGGUCCUUGGCACUCUGUCAUCCUUGUCCCUUUGUCUCUGUCCUCCUUACUGAACCCCCAGGAAGCUCCAUGAGACUGUAAACGCACCAUGCUCCCAUCUCUCCAGGCCUUACUCAAGCACACUCACUUCUUUUUCUACUUGAAAUACUUAUCUGCCAAAGACCUGUGACUGCCUUCAACAGAUUUCUAUUGUAGAAUUUGGCAAACACACCAGCUUUUUUUUUUUUUUAAAGAAGCUCUACCAGUGAAGUACACACUGUGUUUUCAUUUGAGCUGGAUUGAAAUGGCAUAAUUUUUUCCUAAAGGUUACUAGAAGCCUCAGGGAAUUUAGAAUAGACUUAAAUUGCAUAGAGAGAUAGGAUUUCAGUCCCAUGUGGGAUAGUCAAGGGAGACAGUGCUAGCUGGAGUAUAGGGUCUUUUCAAUCAGAGGUUGCUAUACUGUUGGUUUUGAUCUAAUCAAAUAACAUUAUCACCUUGAGCCAAGCAGACGAUAGCAGUGGUUAAGGGUUUAUUUAUGUAAAGUCCUAUUUAGUUCACUUUCAAAAUAGUGUGGGAUGUGUAUGAAGCCUGAGGUAGUGUCUCUGCUCAGCACAUGGAUGUGAAGACAUAGAAGGUAGCUGUCUUAGAGCAGCUCACAGUGCUGUGUAAUGAACUGCAUAGACGGUCCUUCGGGAAGCUGAAGAGCAAAACAGUCCCUUUAAUCAGAAGGUUUGAGCAGGUCUUUCUGGAAUGAGAAGAUGCCUCAGUUGGUUCUUGGUAAGUGAACAGGCCAGGUGGAGAAAGUGGGGGGGGGGGCACAUCGGAUGUGGGGUAGACCAAGUCAUUGCCUGGAGGAAGGAGCUGCUAAGUGAGGUAGAGAUGCAAGCUCUCUUAGAAACAAAACUAUGAGCGGUUUGUUGGUAAAGCAGAAAGAGCAGAAUGUGAGGAGAGAAAAUAGAUUAGCUGUGGUCCUGACUUGAGGGAACUGCCAAGAAAUGUUUCUGGUAGAGCUUUGGCUUACAGCGUGCUUCCUCUUUAUAGAAUUUGUCUCUCUUCACCUGCUGUCAUGGAUGGUGAUAAAAAUGUUUCCCAAAUUCAGUUCUCACUUCGGCAGAAUAUGAAUUCAGAAAGGACUACUUCAACUUGGGAGCCGUGGAAAAUGCGCCCUAGACUUAAUAAUAGCCGUGAGUUUGAGAUUCUGCUACCGUACUCCUUGAACACCACAUGAACAGCACGCUGGGAACCGAAAUAUGGAAGUCUCUCCUUCCAACCAGUGCUGUACUAAUGAGCUGAGUGAGCGAGGCUUGAAUAGGGCCUUAAACAACACUGGAGAAGGUUUGUCAGAUAGAAUAGCAAUAUGCAAGGGCUAGUGCCAAUACAGGAAUGUGUCAGACUUAGACAAAAGAUCAUGCCUUUAUCUCAGAGUGGCUGAGACACCGCAAGCUAGUGGAACCUUCAGGAGUGGAGGUUUAAUUGUCAGUGGUAUUCACUUUCUGUUCAUUGUUACUUUCAAAAGAGAACGUACCUGAAAUCGUUCUCUGAAGAGUUUUUCUUCUUUUUCCAUUCUAUUCUUUUCUAAUUUUUGCUUCUUAGUUCUGAAGAAAUGUCUGGGAGAAAAACUGUCAAGAAAUAACAUGAAUAGAGGCAAGUGUAGCAUGGCCAACACCCUGCAUCUGUGAGGCUAUGAACCCAUCCUGUUUCAGGAUAAACUCAGGUACAACUUUGUACAGGUAUAACUUUGUAUAUAUAUAUACACACACACAUCUGUCUGUAUACAUCCCUCUACUAGAGCAAAUUGUCAUAACUUCUGAAAAAGGUAAUAUCAAUUAUUUUUCUGUUCAAUACAUACAUAUGUAUUUUCCUAGUGCUUCAUACAUACCAAGUGAGCAUGGAAUAAAAUCAGCACCAUAUAGAGAGAACAGUUGGGUGCAGAAGGAGCAAUGGAAUAGGGAGAAAGAAUGUGUUUUAUAGAAUAGUAGGUGUAUUAUUUAGCUUUCUUUUUCUGUUGCAGUGAGAAGACACCAUGACUAAGGCACCUGAUAGGGAGGCAGUAUUUAUUUGGGCUUCCAGUUCCUGGGGGAUUAGAGUCCAUCAUGGCGGGGGCCUGGUGGGCACAGUACCUAGAACAGCAAGCACUAAGCAGAAAACUAGAAAUAACCGGAGUCUUUAAACUUUCAAAGGCCACAUCUCCUAAAUGUACCCAAACAGUGCCACCAACUGGAACAAAGUAUUCAAAUGCCUGAGACUGUGGGGAGACAUUUAUCAUAAAACACCACACUAAGGUAACUUGUUUUGACAACAUGUAAUUAUAGAUUUUGUAUGCUUUCAGUGUAAAUAAACAAGAGUUGGGGUGAUGGACUGUACCUUUGAACUGUGGGUCAAAACAAACCUUUCUGGCUUAAGUUAGUUUGGGGAAUAUUUUAUUAUAGAAAUAAUAAAUGUGAGGGAGAUAUGAACAGAAUUGAGUGUGAUUAAGCAAAUGAAAUGAACAAAUCUAUAGCAGAAGCUGACUGAAGACUCCUCCUGCUUUACAAGUGGAGUUUUGUUCUACUUAGCCUUUUCAUACAUGGACAGACAGGGUAAUAUCACAUAAGUCCUAUCAGUUGUAGUGAGAAGUGUCUCCUGUCUUGGGGUAUGUCUUUCCAAGAUUCUAGUCACAGCCACAUUCAUUGCAGAUUACUGGGGAAGCAUAUGGCAUUGUUUAGCAACCUGAGUCCCUACUUGGUACCAUCCCAUCAGCUACGAUGCACUUGACAGCUUGAGACUUUUACCACACAUACACAUCUCUGGACAAAUCUGCAUCAUACUGCAUAUACCUCCUACUAUGAAUGACUAUCAAACUUAGAUGGUAUUCGGUUAGACUUUACUUGCUUAUGUUCUGCUACAGAAAUGGAAAGGAAGAUCUGGCCUGAACUGGCUUUGGGUACAUGUGUGAUGAAGACAACCAUGUCCCUAAGUGAACUUUUAGGGAGAAGCCCUUAUUUAUUAUUUUACACUCAUCCCAUAACUGGGCACACACAAAGUCAGGUGCAUUGUGGGAUGUACAUGCACAGGAAAUACAUGAUUAUAUUAUCCAAUCUAAGAAAAUCACUCAAACUACACACCUGUGAGCAACUGCAUCCUCCUCUUGGAUUUCAUAUAAAGAAGCCUCAAACAACAUCCUGUAGUCCUUGAGGUCCGCUCCUCUUACAGUGUAAUCUAACCUAUUCUAGCUCUUUGCUUUGAAUAAAUUUCCCUCAGUACUUUGCAGCAUGUGUUGUUUUUUAUUUCUUUAUUGAAUAAGAAGCCAAGAACCUGGAAAUAUCCCUCUUAGCCCCUGACCACUGGCAACAAUAAUAUUCUCCAUGUCUAUCUUGUAAAAUAUCCAUCUGCAUAUCCGUUACAGAGAUAUCUUUCUAAAUUAAUCAUGCUCUGAUGACACCCUUUAGGGCAUUGAACUACCUACAGCAAAUACCAGUUCCAUUAGCAUUACACAUGUUCCCUCCACAUACAGUGUCUAUUUAGGCCAUGCAUGCCUUUGAAUUUGAAUAUUCACCCAUAUUUUAUACUUACUGGUGGAAUAAGCUGUCAUUUAACUAAUAUGGAAAACACUUUACUUAUUGAUAAAAUAGUUGUCCCAGAAACCAUUAUAAAAGGAUCUAAGAAAUUGAUCCAUUGCUCUUCAGAAACAAUGAUAGUCUCAUUAUUGCAUUUUCUUUCCUUUUUUGUGUGCACAUAUGUUUAUUAUAGUAAUGUCUUCUUGGUUAACUGUUCUCUUGAUUAGAAUAAAAUUUUAAGGUUUUUUUUUAUUGGA